GAUGAACGCUGGCGGCGUGCCUAAUACAUGCAAGUCGAGCGAACGGACGAGAAGCUUGCUUCUCUGAUGUUAGCGGCGGACGGGUGAGUAACACGUGGAUAACCUACCUAUAAGACUGGGAUAACUUCGGGAAACCGGAGCUAAUACCGGAUAAUAUUUUGAACCGCAUGGUUCAAAAGUGAAAGACGGUCUUGCUGUCACUUAUAGAUGGAUCCGCGCUGCAUUAGCUAGUUGGUAAGGUAACGGCUUACCAAGGCAACGAUGCAUAGCCGACCUGAGAGGGUGAUCGGCCACACUGGGACUGAGACACGGUCCAGACUCCUACGGGAGGCAGCAGUAGGGAAUCUUCCGCAAUGGGCGAAAGCCUGACGGAGCAACGCCGCGUGAGUGAUGAAGGUCUUCGGAUCGUAAAACUCUGUUAUUAGGGAAGAACAUAUGUGUAAGUAACUGUGCACAUCUUGACGGUACCUAAUCAGAAAGCCACGGCUAACUACGUGCCAGCAGCCGCGGUAAUACGUAGGUGGCAAGCGUUAUCCGGAAUUAUUGGGCGUAAAGCGCGCGUAGGCGGUUUUUUAAGUCUGAUGUGAAAGCCCACGGCUCAACCGUGGAGGGUCAUUGGAAACUGGAAAACUUGAGUGCAGAAGAGGAAAGUGGAAUUCCAUGUGUAGCGGUGAAAUGCGCAGAGAUAUGGAGGAACACCAGUGGCGAAGGCGACUUUCUGGUCUGUAACUGACGCUGAUGUGCGAAAGCGUGGGGAUCAAACAGGAUUAGAUACCCUGGUAGUCCACGCCGUAAACGAUGAGUGCUAAGUGUUAGGGGGUUUCCGCCCCUUAGUGCUGCAGCUAACGCAUUAAGCACUCCGCCUGGGGAGUACGACCGCAAGGUUGAAACUCAAAGGAAUUGACGGGGACCCGCACAAGCGGUGGAGCAUGUGGUUUAAUUCGAAGCAACGCGAAGAACCUUACCAAAUCUUGACAUCCUUUGACAACUCUAGAGAUAGAGCCUUCCCCUUCGGGGGACAAAGUGACAGGUGGUGCAUGGUUGUCGUCAGCUCGUGUCGUGAGAUGUUGGGUUAAGUCCCGCAACGAGCGCAACCCUUAAGCUUAGUUGCCAUCAUUAAGUUGGGCACUCUAAGUUGACUGCCGGUGACAAACCGGAGGAAGGUGGGGAUGACGUCAAAUCAUCAUGCCCCUUAUGAUUUGGGCUACACACGUGCUACAAUGGACAAUACAAAGGGCAGCGAAACCGCGAGGUCAAGCAAAUCCCAUAAAGUUGUUCUCAGUUCGGAUUGUAGUCUGCAACUCGACUACAUGAAGCUGGAAUCGCUAGUAAUCGUAGAUCAGCAUGCUACGGUGAAUACGUUCCCGGGUCU
rnacentral:rRNA from 1 species